UUAUUUGUGUUGCAAAUGCUGUAAAACUCUAACCAAAACUCUAUUACUGUCCCCAGUGCUACCCUCCCGAGAGCCUGAAGAAGGACCAUGCGGCUGUGCUGGUGUGUUGUGGGCCGGGGAAUAACGGCGGGGACGGGCUGGUGUGUGCUCGGCAUCUCAAGUUGUUUGGCUACAAGCCGACGCUGUUCUAUCCCAAGCAAAA